ACACAGCUGCUCACCAUGGAGAGUGUGCUCAGCUGGGUUUUCCUGGUGGCUGUUUUCAAAGCGAGCCAGUCAUCCCCGAGCCUCUUCCCCCUCAUUUCCUGUGAGAGUCCCUUGUCCGACGAGAGCCUGGUGACCGUGGGCUGCCUGGCCAAGGACUUCCUGCCCGACACAGCCACCUUCUCCUGGAACUUCAAGAACAACACAGCGAUCCGUCAGGGUGUCAGGACCUUCCCUUCGACGAUGGUGCAGGGCAAGUAUGCCGCCACCUCUCAGGUCCUGCUGUCCUCCAAGGACGCCUUUCAGGACCCCGACGAGUUCCUGGUGUGCAGAGUCCAGCAUGGCGGUAACAACAAACACAAGGAGGUGCCCCUCCCAGGUAUUGGAGUGGACCAGUCCCCCAACGUGAGUGUGUUCAUCCCAUCUCGAGACUCCUUCUCUGGUCCCGGCAAACGCGAGUCCAGCCUCAUCUGCCAGGCCACGGACUUCAGUCCCAAGCAGAUCACAGUGUCCUGGCUCCGGGAGGGAAAGGUCUUGACGUCUGGCUUCACUACGGGCCCAGUGACCGCAGAAGCCAGUGGGUCCCAACGCUCAACCUUCAAGGUCACCAGCACACUGACCAUCACUGAGAGCGACUGGCUGAGCCAGCACGUGUUCACCUGCCGCGUGGAUCACAGGGGACUCACCUUCCAGAAGAACGUGUCCUCCGUGUGUGGCACCACAAGUCCACCCACAGGCAUCCGGGUCUUCACCGUCCCCCCGACCUUUGCCGGCAUCUUCCUCACCAAAUCGGCCAAGCUGUCCUGCCUGGUCACAGACCUGGCCACCUACGACAGCCUGAUCAUCACCUGGGCCCGCCAGAAUGGAGAGGCUCUGAAAACCCACACCAACAUCUCCAGCAGCCACCCCAACGGCACCUUCAGUGCUGUGGGUGAGGCCAGUGUCUGCGUGGAAGACUGGGAGUCCGGGGAGCAGUUCACAUGCACAGUGACCCACAAUGACCUGCCCUCACCGCUGAAGGAGAUCAUCUCCAAGCCCAGGGAGGCGGCCAGGCACCCCCCGGCCGUGUACCUGCUGCCGCCAGCCCGGGAGCAGCUGCUCCUGCAGGAGUCGGCCACGGUCACCUGCCUGGUGAAGGGCUUCUCUCCCCCGGACGUCUUCGUGCAGUGGCUGCACCGGGGGCAGCCCGUGUCCUCAGACAAGUACGCGACAAGCGCCCCGACGCCUGAGCCCCAGGCCCCGGGCCUCUACUAUGCCCACAGCAUCCUGACAGUGACCGAGGAAGACUGGAACUCAGGCGAGGUCUUCGCCUGCGUCGUAGGCCACGAGGCCCUGCCACACAUGGUGACCGAGAAGACUGUGGACAAGUCCACUGAGGGGGAGGUGAGCGCCGAGGAGGAGGGCUUCGAGAACCUGUGGACCACUGCCUCCACCUUCAUCGUCCUCUUCCUCCUGAGCCUCUUCUACAGCACCACCGUCACCCUGUUCAAGGUGAAGUGACUUAUCUGGGGAUGGACGUCGGAGGUCAAGAGACUGACCGACCCGCAGGGGCACUGCCUCUGGGCCAGGGCAAGACAGCCUUGUGGCCCAUGGACUUGGACCUGAAUCCUCCCUGGGUGGCCCUCCAGCUUUGCACUCUAGGUCGCAGGCUGCUUUUGACACUGGCCCCAGCCCUGGGCCUGCUGUCCGCCCUGCUUUGCCCAGCGCGUGCGUGUAGCCUGACACCAAUACAGUUGUCCUCUGCUGAAA